CCUACGGGAGACAGCAGUGGGGAAUAUUGCACAAUGGGCGAAACCCUGAUGCAGCAACGCCGCGUGAAGGAAGAAGGUUUUCGGAUUGUAAACUUCUGUUCUUAGUGAAGAAUAAUGACUGUAGCUAAGGACCAAGCCACGGCUAACUACGUGCCAGCAGCCGCGGUAAUAUGUAGGGGGCAAGCGUUGUGCGGAAUUACUGGGUGUAAAGGGAGCGCAGGCGGGAAGCCAAGUCAGCUGUGAAAACUACGGGCUUAACGUGUAGACUGCAGUUGAAACUGGUUUUCUUGAGUGAGGGAGAGGAUAGCGGAAUUCCGAGUGUAGCGGUGAAAUGCGUAGAUAUUCGGAGGAACACCGGUGGCGAAGGCGGCCAACUGGGAUUUAACUGACGCUGAGGCUCGAAAGUGUGGGGAGCAAACAGGAUUAGAUACCCGAGUAGUC
rnacentral:rRNA from 1 species